GCCUUUGUAAAUAUACAUCUUUUGCAAACAUACAGCUGUGUCCAUCCCCAGGCUUAGUUUCCUCAUACACAAUCUACUCAGUCCUAUGCUGUUGUUUUAUUUUUUUGUCUUCCAUUUCAAUACUUAGCAGUUUUCUGAUGGCGCAAUGGAAAGGUAUUUUAAAUUAAUUCUUCAAACUCACAAGCAUUAGUCUCAUGUGUGUUUCCAACUAUUGUCACCCAUCUGGACUAGCUUCAGAGUUAAAGUCACACACAUGACCACAACAACUUGGACCUUUGAGAUCACCCUAUUUGUCAGAGGCAGCAUCCUGCACAGAAUCACUAACUUCUGAUUUGGCACUUGUCUACUUCUCGGUCUGGUAGCUCAUCCCAUUUGUGACCUAGACUGAUCUCUUCAGGCUUCCUUUCUCUCUAGCACUCCCAUGAAACACUCCUUCAAUGGCUCAACCUUUUGGAAUUUUCUGUGACCACUUAAUCCCUCCUUCAUCUAAUCCAGUGCACUCAAAAGAAAUUUUGUUGUACCUACUAUAAUAUUCAGUGAAAUGUUUUUGUCAAUCAUUACAGUACAACUGUUUAUUUCUUCAAAAGCUUGAGCAAGUACGUGCAUAUUUUUUCUGUGCUGGCCUAUUGCAUGACUUGUUUUGUUUAUUGGAGUUCAAUGCCAAGUGUGUCCUACAAGACUAAUCAUGAUGCACCAUUAACUGCUUUACUGGUAUGCACCACCAUGGGACACAAUUAACAUUGUCAAUGCUAUUGAUGUUUAAGGAUUUAAUGACAGAACCUAUGGUACUUGCUAACUGUGGUUCCUCUAUUUAUCAUGUAUGAGAAUCCAGCACUGACUGGAGUUAAUUUUGCUAGAUAUUUCCAAGUUAUGUCAAUAGAUGUGACCUUUCCAUGCUAUUUAGCACAAGUUCUCAAACUGCUGUAAAAAAACUUUUUUUUCUGUCAUUCUUUUGUAUGAAUCGCUAUUGCCAGCAAAAUGAAAAAGCAGCCUGCUAAAAAAACGUUUGAGAAAAGGGAAGGGAAAAGAUUCCUCCUCUCUGAAAUUGUCUGAGUGUGUGUGUUGUCUUUAACAACAUUAGUCAUGGAAUGCGUCAGUUCAGAUGCUGAUAACCCUCAUGAAUAAAAUCUGUAAUUAAAGAACUAUAAUCGCUGUUCUUUAAACCAGAAACAUUUUAUUCUACUUCUUCUGUGAACAUGUGUUCAUUACAAACUAACAUCAGAGGUUAGCUAAACAUAGAAAAGAACAGCUAUUAAGAGACCACGCCUCACAGUUUGGAAAGAGUUAUCUGACAUACUAUGGCUGCAGUUUACAUAUUUUCUGCAUCAUUCAGGAUGGAGUCUUUUGAACAGAAAGAAUAGAAAUGAAAAAAAAGACACAAAAAACUAAACAAAUAUUAGCAAGUCAGUUUUACAAAACAGUUAAAAGCUGCAACUACAGAGAGUAACAGCAAGAAAACAUAGAACUAGACUCAGAUUCCAGGACUGGAAAGAAAGCUGCCCAAAGAGGCCUUCUGCCAAGGCCGAGGCUGAGUGAUAUUUACAGCAGGCAGCGAGUGCAAGAUAGCAGCAUUUGCAUCUGUCCCACCAGCCGCUUCUUCACUCUCCUUUCUCCUCUCUAAAGCAAGGAAGAUUAGACCAAAGUGUGUGCAUGUGUGCACAUCACACAUGCAGGAUGACUCACAAGAAGGGCAUUUCUUACUCACUUCCACAUACAGCCCCUCUUAGCACUAUAGUAUAAGCAUCAUAUGCUGAUUAUAUAUGGAAGCUCCUGGCUAAGCCCAUCAAAUUCACUCUUAACAGAUGCUGCCUAAAUACCUGGUACAUUAGUGUCUAAGUGUUCAAGAGAGAGUCACCAUAUGAUGAGAUCUUUGAUACGCUAUUUUUCCUUAAUAAUCCCAAACCAAAACAAGAACUCAAGAACGUUUCACUAGUGAGUGAAUGUGUACAUGCAGCACAUCAUACUAAAAACAAUCAACAACUAAGUUUAAAACUACAAUAAUUACUGUAUUUAAUCUCAUUAAACAUGACAAUAACAAUAGGACUAGUGUUUUUCAGUCAAAUCUGCAUUUCAAAUGCUGAUAGUAAUACUGUAAAAUAAUGACAACUAAUGUAACUUUAGGAAUCUGCCAAUAAAUUGCUUUUGAUUUUUAAGCUUUUAAUAUGAUCUAUAGGUACUACUUAACAACUCAACAAUGGGCAUGGCCCAUUUUAAAAUUUUGAUUUAAUAAGGCAUAGAAAGGGAAAUAGAAAUUCUAAUUUUCUCAAAACCCCCAAACACAAAACGUGGAGUUUAGGUUAUAGUGUCACUUGCAAGCUAUGUGUGGAGUGCUACUUUCUCAAAUGUCUGUCAAAACACAAGCCUGCUCACAGACACGAUAGGCUUAUUCAUGCAACAAAAUCCUCCAUUUUUUUUUUUAACACUGCAGUUAACACUAUUCUUGCAGUUUCAGUGUAUUUAUCCAGGUUCCUGCACAAGGAACUUCCUCUGCCACAGUGAACAAAGCAUGCAGGAAAUUUCCACUUGUCUUCCUUCAUGUCAUUUGGUGACUCACAAGCGGAACCACCAGAAAUGGUUUUCCUUUUGAACUGAACAUUAGCGGUUAAUCAUAGGUAUUCCUCACUGGUUUAUCAACAUGUGGAAGACUCGUUGCAGUCUCAGCGUGUCAGCAGCAUGUGGGAAAACGCAAAGCCAAGGGGUUCAAGAAAGAUGAAUGUGUUAUGUGGCUCUCUUCCGCGCUCUGUAGGGUGACGUCAUGGCGCCAGCUGGCAGACAUCAGCGGCGCGCGAGGCUGUGGAGAGGAUGGGGCGUUGAGGUGUUUUAUGAAGAGUUUGCAGGAGCGUGUCUCUGUAUGUGUGCAAGCGUGGUCUCGGGCGUGCCGUAUAAUCAGGAGUCAGACAACACUACAUUAAAGAGCUUUCCAACUUAAUCUUUGUGAUAAGGUCAGUGUUGACAUGUGUCGAGUAGAUAAAAGUUUUGACUUCGCGUCACAUUGACCUAGUUCGCAUGCGCUCUAAACCAUAUAUAUAUAUAGACAACAGCAUGCUGAGGGCAAUAAUAUCUAUUAGUCUCUCACAGGCGGGCCGGCUUAGCCUUGAAAGUGUCAGUGGAAGGCCAAAGCAUGUUCAGCGAAACAAUGACUCAUCGCCACUUUCAUACUUGGAGGCAUCUCCGUUUUCCGUGACUUCCUUGCUGAGUCCUUGCGAAAUCGAGGCAGUACUACAGCCGACACCAAUAAGGAAACUGUGCUACAGAGCAGAGACGAGAGGAGAGAAAAAAUAGACACCUAAAUUGGCCACAGAAAGUCUCAGUUCCGCAACAGGAGUUUUCACGUGCUAUCGUAUGUGUUCUUGCGACUAUCAUCUAACGAGACUCUAUAGUUAAAGGGAAGCAACAACGUUCUCUGUGGUUUUGAGGUUGGCGAACUUAUGUCCCCUACAUGAAUGGCCAACUCAACAUUAAUUUGUUUAGUGGAAUCUCUUUUUGUGUGUCUUCAUCCAUCCUUCUAAAGCACCAGACCAAAGCGAUAUACAUAAGAAGAUCGACCCAAAAGCAAAAAUAUCAGUGGAUUUGCAUUGCUUCCCUGCCUACGAUUUAUAAACUUAUUAUUGUUGUUUCAAAAAGGUAUUCCGAAAAUUACUUAUAAGCAGCACAAAUAAUUAGUACCUAUACGUGAUCUGCUUUAUGUCUAGAAAAAAGGUGUGGAAAGAAGCAUUUUCAGCCUUGUUUACAAACUCUUGUGUUACGUAGGGAGAAUGUUCGCGUUGCUACCAACUGGCGAAUCAAAAGUAAAAUUUCGACCGGUAUUUUAAAAAAAUUAUAUCUAUUAACAUACAACAAUGACAUUAUCGAUGAUACUCCAUUUUAAAGAGCAUUUUAAAAACAUUUACGUGGUGUAAAUUUUAAGAAAUAUAGUUUUUGUUUACUAGUAGUAAAAUCAAAUGAAAGAUUGUAAUUGUAACUGUAACAUUGUAAUUGUAAGAUUGUAAUUGUAACUGUAACAGAGAACUAAUCGAAAAGGAGGUUAACCUAUAGAAUUAACAAAAAAAUUAUUUACAUGAUUUAAACAAACAUAAAGUACUAAACACACACAUUUUAUUAGAAUAUACAUUAGUAUUUAAAUAUUACUGACUGUUUUCUUCUUAUUUUAUUUUGUUUGAGUACAAAACCAUUUUGAAUAACGAAAUACCUGAUUAGUUGAAGGUUUUUCAGCCUUUAAAGGGAAGUAAUCUAUCAUGGAACAACUCCUAAAGGUUCCAGUACUUGCCUCCCUUAGAUAUUCAUUCAUUUACGCACAGAGAGAUGUGUUCUGAUAUUUCUGUUGGGACAAAUCUGACUCGGGCCAGGCACCUGUGCGCGGGUUCGGACAAAUUUGACCUAUUCGUCGUGAAUCACUGCGCAAGGCUUCAACUAGGUCAUAUUACCUUGAAGCACAUGUAAAUCCACCAUUUUCAAAAAUUCAUAAAAAAUAACUAUAAGAGAUAGAUUAAAAAAAAAUGAUAAUAAGA